CGUGAAAAAAUUAGAGUGUUCAAAGCAGGCAGAUCCAAUUUUCUGCCACCGAAUACAUUAGCAUGGGAUAAUGGAAUAGGACCCUGUCCUCCUAUUUUCAGUUGGUUUGCCGCGAGGACCAGGGUAAUGAUUAAUAGGGAUAGUUGGGGGCAUUAAUAUUUAAUUGUCAGAGGUGAAAUUCUUGGAUUUAUGAAAGAUUAACUUCUGCGAAAGCAUCUGCCAAGGAUGUUUUCAUUAAUCAAGAACGAAAGUUAGGGGAUCGAAGACGAUCAGAUACCGUCGUAGUCUUAACCAUAAACGAUGCCGACCAGCGAUUAGGAGACGUUGAAUACAAAACACCACCAUGCGAUUGCGGUCGUCUUUGGUGUCGCUCACAAGGCGGCAUCGGGACGGCUUAGCUCGCAUGGCACCGGUGAAUGACUCCC
rnacentral:rRNA from 1 species